GACGAACGCUGGCGGCGUGAUUAACACAUGCAAGUCGAACGGAAAGGCCCUGCUUUUGUGGGGUGCUCGAGUGGCGAACGGGUGAGUAACACGUGAGUAACCUGCCCUUGACUUUGGGAUAACUUCAGGAAACUGGGGCUAAUACCGGAUAGGAGCUCCUGCUGCAUGGUGGGGGUUGGAAAGUUUCGGCGGUUGGGGAUGGACUCGCGGCUUAUCAGCUAGUUGGUGGGGUAGUGGCUUACCAAGGCUUUGACGGGUAGCCGGCCUGAGAGGGUGACCGGCCACAUUGGGACUGAGAUACGGCCCAGACUCCUACGGGAGGCAGCAGUGGGGAAUAUUGCACAAUGGGCGGAAGCCUGAUGCAGCAACGCCGCGUGCGGGAUGACGGCCUUCGGGUUGUAAACCGCUUUCGCCUGUGACGAAGCGUGAGUGACGGUAAUGGGUAAAGAAGCACCGGCUAACUACGUG
rnacentral:rRNA from 1 species